rnacentral:rRNA from 1 species
UGGCUCAGGAUGAACGCUAGCUACAGGCUUAACACAUGCAAGUCGAGGGGCAUCAUGGAGUUUGCUUGCAAACUCUGAUGGCGACCGGCGCACGGGUGAGUAACGCGUAUCCAACCUUCCCUAUAGUAGAGGAUAGCCCGGCGAAAGUCGGAUUAAUACUCUAUGUUUUCCGUUGCAGACAUCUAAGAUGGAACAAAGGCUUGCCGCUAUAGGAUGGGGAUGCGUCUGAUUAGGUAGUCGGCGGGGUAACGGCCCACCGAGCCAUCGAUCAGUAGGGGUUCUGAGAGGAAGGUCCCCCACAUUGGAACUGAGACACGGUCCAAACUCCUACGGGAGGCAGCAGUGAGGAAUAUUGGUCAAUGGGCGAGAGCCUGAACCAGCCAAGUAGCGUGCCAGGACGACGGCCCUAUGGGUUGUAAACUGCUUUUAUGCGGGGAUAAAGCUCACUACGUGUAGUGUUUUGUAGGUACCGCAUGAAUAAGGACCGGCUAAUUCCGUGCCAGCCGCUGC